CAGUAGCCGCGGUAAUUCGUAGGUCCCGAGCGUUGUCCGGAUUUAUUGGGCGUAAAGCGAGCGCAGGCGGUUAGAUAAGUCUGAAGUUAAAGGCUGUGGCUUAACCAUAGUACGCUUUGGAAACUGUUUAACUUGAGUGCAAGAGGGGAGAGUGGAAUUCCAUGUGUAGCGGUGAAAUGCGUAGAUAUAUGGAGGAACACCGGUGGCGAAAGCGGCUCUCUGGCUUGUAACUGACGCUGAGGCUCGAGAGCGUGGGGAGCAAACAGGAUUAGAUACCCCAGUAGUCCCUGUCUCUUAUACA
rnacentral:rRNA from 1 species